rnacentral:antisense_RNA from 1 species
CUUCACCGACCCCAACCACAACGGCUGGUCCGCCGGGCGCUCCCGGCCGUAGGUGGCGAGCAGGGCCUGCGCCUC